rnacentral:rRNA from 1 species
CAAAAACAUCGCCUCUUGAUUAAUCAUAAGAGGUCCAGCCUGCCCGGUGACAAAGUUUAACGGCCGCGGUAUCCUGACCGUGCGAAGGUAGCAUAAUCACUUGUUCUUUAAAUAGGGACUAGUAUCAACGGCAUCACGAGGGUUACACUGUCUCCUUUCCACAAUCAGUGAAACUGAUCUCCCCGUGAAGAAGCGGGGAUACAACUAUAAGACGAGAAGACCCCAUGGAGCUUUAAGCUCAACAACACCUCCACGCAUACACACCCUUAUAGCCCACGAGCCCUGUAUGUUAGCUUUAGGUUGGGGUGACCGCGGAGUAUAACAUAACCUCCACGACGAAUAGGCCUAAAACCUUUAUCCAAGAGCAACUGCUCUAAGAAUCAUAAAAUUGACACUGAAUGAUCCGAUCUUCGAUCAACGGACCAAGUUACCCUGGGGAUAACAGCGCAAUCCAUUUCAAGAGCUCCUAUCGACAAAUGGGUUUACGACCUCGAUGUUGGAUCAGGGUAUCCCAGUGGUGCAGCCGCUACUAAAGGUUCGUUUGUUCAACGAUUAAAACCCUACGUGAUC